GAUAUUCAGACUAAGGGUGUUCAGUCAGGUCAUUUUAACAUUCGAACAAUAGACAUACAUGACACAUACGUUUCAUUUGCAAGGGAGAACUCAACCAUCUUUUGUGGCGUAAAGGGAGAGAGGGUGUUUACCAAAUGUUUUGCUUAUUUUCAUGUUACUCAGGGCUACCCUCCUGACAUAGUUCAUGACUUAUUUGAGGGUGUUGUUCCAGUUGAGAUUGCCCUCUGCAUUGGUGUAUUCAUUUCCAAAAAGUAUCUCUCUCUUAACAGUCUUACCGAAUUAAUCCUGAACUUUCCAUAUAAGUGGGGGGAUAGAACAAAUAAACCUCAUAUUAUACCACGCACUUACGCCUCUAAAAAGACGAUUGGUAAUGCCCACAAAAAUUGGAGGUUGCUUCCAUUUAUCAUAGGAGACUUGAUACCAGAGGCAAAGCCUGUUUGGCUUGUGUUGCUUGAUUUAAAAGAAAUUGUUGAACUUGCUGUUGCCCCUCUUCAUAAUAAAGAGACCGUUGCCUACCUGGACUGCAAAAUCACAGAACACAGAGAUAGAUACUUGCAGCUUUUUCCUGCACGACUCUUACCAAAACAUCACUUUGUUGAACAUUACCCUCGAAGGAUUGAAUGUUUUGGGCCUCUAGUUGGGCAAUGGACUAUGAGGUUUGAAGCAAAGCAUAGUUUCUUUAAGGAAGUUGCUCGGCAUACAAAUUGUUUUAAGAAUAUACCACUCACACUAGCAACCAAACAUCAGCAAAUGAUUGCAUAUCAUAUGAAUGCAUCCCACCGUAAAUCCUCAUUGGAAGUUGCAAAUGUCUCCACACUUCCACUGGAUGUAUUGAACAAGGAAAUGGUGGCAAACCUCAGGAAAAAAUUACCUAUGUUGAAUGAGGUACAUCUAGCCAAAAAUGCAACUAACAAAGGAAUCUCCUAUAGAAUCGGCAUGUUGAUUCCUUACAGAUCGACUUGUGGUCUGCCUGAGUUUGCAGAAAUUCUCCAAAUGUGCAUUGUAAAGAACAGCUUAAGCUUUCUUGUAAGAAUAUUGUGUGCGUGUUUCCAAGCAUAUGAGGUGACUAUGUCACCUAAUAGAGAGGUUGCCCUAGUUGAUGUUGAAGACCUGGCCGAUGCGUAUCCACUCUGA
rnacentral:lncRNA from 1 species